UUGAUCCUGGCUCAGAUUGAACGCUGGCGGCAGGCCUAACACAUGCAAGUCGAACGGUAGCACAGAGAGCUUGCUCUCGGGUGACGAGUGGCGGACGGGUGAGUAAUGUCUGGGAAACUGCCUGAUGGAGGGGGAUAACUACUGGAAACGGUAGCUAAUACCGCAUAACGUCGCAAGACCAAAGAGGGGGACCUUCGGGCCUCUUGCCAUCAGAUGUGCCCAGAUGGGAUUAGCUAGUAGGUGGGGUAACGGCUCACCUAGGCGACGAUCCCUAGCUGGUCUGAGAGGAUGACCAGCCACACUGGAACUGAGACACGGUCCAGACUCCUACGGGAGGCAGCAGUGGGGAAUAUUGCACAAUGGGCGCAAGCCUGAUGCAGCCAUGCCGCGUGUAUGAAGAAGGCCUUCGGGUUGUAAAGUACUUUCAGCGGGGAGGAAGGUGUUGUGGUUAAUAACCACAGCAAUUGACGUUACCCGCAGAAGAAGCACCGGCUAACUCCGUGCCAGCAGCCGCGGUAAUACGGAGGGUGCAAGCGUUAAUCGGAAUUACUGGGCGUAAAGCGCACGCAGGCGGUCUGUCAAGUCGGAUGUGAAAUCCCCGGGCUCAACCUGGGAACUGCAUUCGAAACUGGCAGGCUAGAGUCUUGUAGAGGGGGGUAGAAUUCCAGGUGUAGCGGUGAAAUGCGUAGAGAUCUGGAGGAAUACCGGUGGCGAAGGCGGCCCCCUGGACAAAGACUGACGCUCAGGUGCGAAAGCGUGGGGAGCAAACAGGAUUAGAUACCCUGGUAGUCCACGCCGUAAACGAUGUCGACUUGGAGGUUGUGCCCUUGAGGCGUGGCUUCCGGAGCUAACGCGUUAAGUCGACCGCCUGGGGAGUACGGCCGCAAGGUUAAAACUCAAAUGAAUUGACGGGGGCCCGCACAAGCGGUGGAGCAUGUGGUUUAAUUCGAUGCAACGCGAAGAACCUUACCUACUCUUGACAUCCAGAGAACUUUCCAGAGAUGGAUUGGUGCCUUCGGGAACUCUGAGACAGGUGCUGCAUGGCUGUCGUCAGCUCGUGUUGUGAAAUGUUGGGUUAAGUCCCGCAACGAGCGCAACCCUUAUCCUUUGUUGCCAGCGGUCCGGCCGGGAACUCAAAGGAGACUGCCAGUGAUAAACUGGAGGAAGGUGGGGAUGACGUCAAGUCAUCAUGGCCCUUACGAGUAGGGCUACACACGUGCUACAAUGGCGCAUACAAAGAGAAGCGAACUCGCGAGAGCAAGCGGACCUCAUAAAGUGCGUCGUAGUCCGGAUUGGAGUCUGCAACUCGACUCCAUGAAGUCGGAAUCGCUAGUAAUCGUAGAUCAGAAUGCUACGGUGAAUACGUUCCCGGGCCUUGUACACACCGCCCGUCACACCAUGGGAGUGGGUUGCAAAAGAAGUAGGUAGCUUAACCUUCGGGAGGGCGCUUACCACUUUGUGAUUCAUGACUGGGGUGAAGUCGUAACAAGGUAACCUCAGUCAGUCA
rnacentral:rRNA from 1 species